CUACGGGAGGCUGCAGUCGAGAAUCUUCCGCAAUGGACGAAAGUCUGACGGAGCGACGCCGCGUGCGGGAUGAAGGCCUUCGGGUUGUAAACCGCUGUCAGUGGGGAGGAAAUGCAUCAGGGUUCUCCCUGGUGUUUGACCGAUCCGCAGAGGAAGCGCAGGCUAAGUUCGUGCCAGCAGCCGCGGUAACACGAACUGCGCGAACGUUAUUCGGAAUCACUGGGCUUAAAGAGUUCGUAGGCGGCCUUUCAAGUCGGGUGUGAAAUCCCUCGGCUCAACCGGGGAAUUGCGCCUGAUACUGGUGGGCUUGAGGGGGAUAGGGGUGAGCGGAACUGAUGGUGGAGCGGUGAAAUGCGUUGAUAUCAUCAGGAACACCGGUGGCGAAGGCGGCUCACUGGAUCUCUUCUGACGCUGAGGAACGAGAGCUAGGGGAGCGAACGGGAUUAGAUACCCUUGUAGUC
rnacentral:rRNA from 1 species